rnacentral:sRNA from 1 species
AUGGAAAACGAAUUGUUCUGCUCGGGCGUCCUGGUGCAUCCGCAGUGGGUGCUGUCAGCCGCACACUGUUUCCAGAACUCCUACACCAUCGGGCUGGGUCUGCACAGUCUUGAGGCCGACCAAGAGCCAGGGAGCCAGAUGGUGGAGGCCAGCCUCUCCGUACAGCACCCAGAGUACAACAGACCCUUGCUCGCCAAUGACCUCAUGCUCAUCAAGUUGGACGAAUCCGUGUCCGAGUCUGACACCAUCCGGAGCAUCAGCAUUGCUUUGCAGUGCCCUACCGCGGGGACCUCUUGCCUCGUGUCUGGCUGGGGUCUGCUGGCGAACGGUGAGCUCACGGGUGUGUGUCUGCCCUCUUCAAGGGGGUCCUCUGCCCAGUCGCGGGGGCUGACCCAGAGCUCUGCGUCCCAGGCAGAAUGCCCACCGUGCUGCAGUGCGUGAACGUGUCAGUGGUGUCUGAGGAGGUCUGCAGUAAGCUGUAUGACCCGCUGUACCACGCCAGCAUGUUCUGCGCCGGCGGAGGGGAAGACCAGAAGGACUCCUGCAAUGGUGACUCUGGGGGUCCCCUGAUCUGCAACGGGUACUUGCAGGGCCUCGUGUCUUUCGGAAAAGCCCCGUGUGGCCAAAUUGGCGUGCCAGGCGUCUACACCAACCUCUGCAAAUUCACUGAGUGGAUAGAGAAAACCAUCCAGGCCAGUUAA